UACAGAGGGGGCAAGCGUUAUUCGGAAUUAUUGGGCGUAAAGAGCUCGUAGGCGGUCUGUUACGUCUGCUGUGAAAACCCAGGGCUUAACCCUGGGCUUGCAGUGGAUACGGGCAGACUAGAGGCAGGUAGGGGAGAAUGGAAUUCCCGGUGUAGCGGUGAAAUGCGCAGAUAUCGGGAGGAACACCGGUGGCGAAGGCGCCACUCUGGGCCGAAACUGACGCUGAGGAGCGAAAGCGUGGGUAGCAAACAGG
rnacentral:rRNA from 1 species